rnacentral:lncRNA from 1 species
CAAGAAACCGACGAACCGGUCGGCUGAACAAGACGGCGCGUGUGGAGCCAUGCUUGCCAGCGCGACGAGAGCAGGGACGUCGUCGACGACCAAGCCCGACCACGCGGCGGGCGCCGUCCACGGAGCCGGAGCCGGAGCCGGCGGCACCCCCAUCGUCGUCACCGACGGCGGGCAGGAGGUCACCGUCUCUCAGUUCGUCGCGCAGCUAGAUGAGGCGGCGCGGCGGAGGCUGGACAGCAUCCACCAGAGGUUGA